rnacentral:rRNA from 1 species
UAUUGCGCAAUGGGCGAAAGCCUGACGCAGCAACGCCGCGUGAGGGAUGAAGGCUUUCGGGUCGUAAAACUCUGUCGGAAGGGAAGAACGGGCAUUGGUCUAAUAGGCCUUUGUUUUGACGGUACCUUUAGAGGAAGCACAGGCGAACUCCGUGCCAGCAGCCGCGGUAAUACGGAGGGUGCAAGCGUUAUUCGGAAUUACUGGGCGUAAAGCGCACGUAGGCCGCUUUGUAAGUCAGGGGUGAAAUCCCACGGCUCAACCGUGGAACUGCCUUUGAAACUGCAGUGCUUGAAUCCUGGAGAGGGUGGCGGAAUUCCUGGUGUAGGAGUGAAAUCCGUAGAUAUCAGGAGGAACACCGGUGGCGAAGGCGGCCACCUGGACAGGCAUUGACGCUGAGGUGCGAAAGUGUGGGGAGCAAACAGG